AUACGUAGGGGGCAAGCGUUAUCCGGAAUUACUGGGUGUAAAGGGAGCGCAGACGGCUAAGCAAGUCUGAUGUGAAAGUCAUGGGCUCAACCCAUGGAUUGCAUUGGAAACUGCGAAGCUGGAGUGUCGGAGGGGUACGCGGAAUUCCUGGUGUAGCGGUGAAAUGCGUAGAUAUCAGGAGGAACACCGGUGGCGAAGGCGGCUUACUGGACGAUCACUGACGUUGAGGCUCGAAAGCGUGGGGAGCAAACAGGAUUAGAUACCCUGGUAGUCCACGCGGUAAACGAUGAUUACUAGGUGUUGGUUGUCAUAGACAAUCGGUGCCGCAGCAAACGCAAUAAGUAAUCCACCUGGGGAGUACGUUCGCAAGGUUGAAACUCAAAUGAAUUGACGGGG
rnacentral:rRNA from 1 species